rnacentral:rRNA from 1 species
GCAGUCGCCGCGGUAAUACGAAGGGUGCAAGCGUUAAUCGGAAGUACUGGGCGUAAAGCGUGCGUAGGCGGUGAGUUAAGUCUGCUGUGAAAUCCCCGGGCUCAACCUGGGAAUGGCAGUGGAUACUGGCUCGCUAGAGUGUGUCAGAGGAUGGUGGAAUUCCCGGUGUAGCGGUGAAAUGCGUAGAGAUCGGGAGGAACAUCAGUGGCGAAGGCGGCCAUCUGGGACAACACUGACGCUGAGGCACGAAAGCGUGGGGAGCAAACAGGAUUAGAUACCCCUGUAGUCCCUGUCUCUUAUAA